rnacentral:lncRNA from 11 species
GAACAAUGAAGUUUUGUAGAACAAUGCAAUUUCUUAAAGACGUCUAUUUGAUUUGAGAUGCCCACCUUUCGUUGGUAGGAAUGGCAAAAAAGUAAGAGACGGAGGGAGCAGAAAAUGCCUCCCUUUGAAGGAGAGUCCCCUUGGGGAUAGCUUAGGGAAGGAAUGGAUCAGCAACCAGUGUUGUUGCAAGAAGAAGAAGGAGGAGAAGGAGAAGAAGAAGACGGCGG